GUGGAUUAUAGUGCCAUGCAUUCUUUAUUUGAGAAGCUGUCGUGCGCCACACAGUGUUUUUUUUUUUGGGACCGGUCCAGCCUGACUGUACUGUGAGCAGAAUUCCUCAGGAGUCCUAAAGGCCCAGCAAGGGUGGUGGGGGGAUGAGGCACUCAGAAGAAAGAGGAGCAUUUCACCUUAAUGCACAUCUAUCAUGACUUCCCAAAAUGGUGGCAAUGACAAGCAUGGCCAAGGAGAGCAAAUGCAGCACGACUAAGGAGAUGAGCAGGAAGACCAUGG